CUUGGAAAAAGUGAGUGGCCAGCGAAUGCCAUAAAGUUAUUAGAUUCUCCUACUUAGUAAUUAGUUUCGCAUACGUGGCUGCGUUUCAGUGGUCAGGAUAAUUGCGGUUAAGCGACAGGCACAAGCUGCUGGAAAUAUGAACAAAAUUAAGUUGUCUUGUUAAACUUUAAGAUAUUUUUGCACAUUUUUAUGUGCAAUUACAAAGCUACCUUUCCCAGUUGAAAGCUGUAAGUUAACACAACAUCAAAACAAAGCCUACAUGUAUAAUUAUCUCAAAGUUGGCAAUAAUCAAAGCACGAAAUUCUACAACAUUUUGCCAUUAACUGACGACAAAGUGUCAUGUGCACAACUAUUGCCUUUAAUUGUGGCAAACUAAAUUCUUAAUUCCUAGUGCGGUACGAAAUCUAACAGUUACAAAGCAAAUUCUAACACCACCUGGAUAUCUCUAAUUCCAUUUAAGACCAUGUAUAUGUAUGAAUCUCAUAUUCCUGGCAAAAAUCAGCAAAUUGCAGUGGUCUACUUGGCUCAUCCUGCGCAUUCCAUUUGGCCAUGCAGCUGGGUGUAGCAACUCAAAAGCCCAAAAGGACUUUCAGUGCACAGUUACGGCACAGGAAUCCAGGGGCACGAUGCAAGGAGGCAACAGCAGCAGCUCCAAUGGCAACAAUGGCAGAACAAAUGCCGCCUCGGAUAACGGAAACGGAAGUUGCUUACAAGCGUAGUAAGGCUGCAGGAGCGACAGAGAGGGCGAGAGGAAGUGGCGCACAAUAGAGGGAGAUGGGAUGAUAUGACAUUUUUGCAUAGACGCUAUCUCUGCGAAUGGGCCGAAAACCAAAAUUGUUUAUUUGCCACAGUACCACACACGCACACACUUAAAAAUCG
rnacentral:misc_RNA from 1 species